rnacentral:tRNA from 1 species
GUGUAGUUCCCGGUAGCUCGUCAGGCUCAUAACCUGAAGGUCGUCAGUUCAAAUCUGGC